rnacentral:lncRNA from 1 species
UGCUUUCAUCAUAAUUAGUGGAAGGAAUGGAUUUGUGGUUACUACUACACAGGUACGAGUGUACAGGUGAAAUCAGAUGGACUCAUCUGACCAGCACAGCUUCUUUCCACGCCAGCCACCUCUCAAGCAAAAUCUUCAUGCUGGUAGCUGAGUCUCUGUGGGUUCUUGAUGGGUUAUUAUCUACUCCUCCGACGUGGUUAAAGAUCCAGCUCUAGUUUUAGAGAAAUUUCUCACCAGUGGUAAUUAGCAGCAAGCUGAGCAGAGGAAAAAUAUGCUGACAGUAAGUAUGCUGAAAAAAUAUGGUUCUGAAGAAUGAAAGAGAACUCAAUGUUUGAAUUUAUUAUUCACUCCUGAAAUGCAAGAUCCUGUUCUGUUAUUUCGUAUUUUUAUAUUUCCUUUUAAAAUUUACCUUUUCUUAUAUUUCCACAUGAUGUGCUAUUUUUCCUUUAAAACUGGCUUACAUUUUGCUCUAAAAUGUAAGCCCUGAUUAUAUAGCAGAGAGCUAUAUCCAAAGUAAUCCAUUUUAUGACACAUUUAUGACAUUUUUUUUCCUUCAUCUUGCUAAUAAGUUUUGUUAUUUUUUUCCGGUAAAACUUCCUAUAUCCUGAUCAUUAACGUCUUCUUUUGCCUCCAUGAUAAGGGCAGAAAAUCUCUACAUGAGAAUACAAGUUGGUCAUGCUCUGGGAAGAAGUGGUUUGCUGCAGUCCUGGCUUGGGUGAGCAUUUGUCCUUACCAUAAAGCAACUGUUUCAUAUGUAGAUGUGUGGAAUAUAUUCACACAUUUAAAG